GGAAAUGCUGGUUAGGUGACCAUGGCUUUGAUGGGAAUGUCCUACUGGAGAGACAUGCAUACACUCCAAUGUGACCAGACAGCUUUAAGGAACUAAUUCAGGUUGACUUCAUGGAGCCAAUGGAAACGUUGCAAAUGUUGGCUUAGAGUUCCCAGCAACCUUACUAGUAACACACCUUUUGGGAUAUGAAAUUCUUGCUCUGAUUGUUGCUGGAUGUUUGCUGCCUGCCUGAGCGACACAACUUGAGACAAACUUCAGAGAACUGCCACAAUACCUCAUGUACAAUCUUCCUGCCUGUUACUCCGUGGGGAUAAUGGCAGGACCCAUGGGCCUAUGAUUAUUUUAACAGUUGGACUACAGGAUGGACUCCCCAACAGUUGUGUAAGUCAGCUGUCACCCUGACUGAUUCUACAUGGCUGGGAUGGCAAAAUCGCUCCUCAAAAGCCAGAGUGUACCCCACUCCAUGGAUUAGCUAUGAACUUGUGGAAUCAGUGGGUGGCCCACCUUCCUCAGGACUGAUUGGAUGAUGCACUUGGGGACGCCCAUAUCUCCCAGGAGGAGCUGUCUUCCACUUGCUGGUUAUUUCCUUGUCAUUAGGAUGUUGUUAAAGCUAGACCUCAGGCAAAGAGGGUUUCUUGAUGGUUUUAUCCCUUGGUCAUAUUUGUCCCAGGAGCUCCCCUAUCAUUGUAGAAUUAUAAGUAAAGGCUUUAGCUAAGCA